UGCGUCCCACUUCCUCUUUCACUUUUUUGUGCUUUUCAAGUCUCAGGUUAGCAGCUUGGGUGUUGAUCAGAGUUUUGAAAAGCACAUAGAGGUGAAGAGGAAGUGGCAAAGAGCA